rnacentral:rRNA from 1 species
GGGGGGGGGGGGGGGGGGGGCGGGGGGGGGGUGGUGGAGCGGGGGCGGCGGGGUGAGCGGCGGACGGGUGAGUAACGCGUGGGAACGUGCCCUUCUCUGCGGAAUAGCCUCGGGAAACUGAGAGUAAUACCGCAUACGCCCUUUGGGGGAAAGAUUUAUCGGAGAAGGAUCGGCCCGCGUUGGAUUAGGUAGUUGGUGGGGUAAUGGCCCACCAAGCCGACGAUCCAUAGCUGGUUUGAGAGGAUGAUCAGCCACACUGGGACUGAGACACGGCCCAGACUCCUACGGGAGGCAGCAGUGGGGAAUCUUAGACAAUGGGGGCAACCCUGAUCUAGCCAUGCCGCGUGAGUGAUGAAGGCCUUAGGGUUGUAAAGCUCUUUCAGCUGGGAAGAUAAUGACGGUACCAGCAGAAGAAGCCCCGGCUAACUCCGUG